UUCAGCCGGAUCCCCGCACGACCUGACUCCUGGCCGGGUCAGUGAAGAAGCUGCUGAUUGGCUGUUGCCUGGUGAGGUGUUUCCGUCCCCCCCCAACCCAACAGCCUCAUCAAAGGUUGAGCGCGUCACCGCCCGAGAUCAGGUGCGUGGUGCCUCAGACUCGUCUGCCGGACCUGGUUGGCAGUUGUAACCAUCCUCGUUACUCUAAACCCCGGAGCCACGCACACUGGCAAGGCACAAGGUGUUGCUCGUUGAGACACUUGACCCAAGUCGGUCUCGUUCUGGCCCGGAUUCAGAAAGCCGUUACCAAGAUAGUUCACUGUCGGAUCCGUCAGUCCGUCCACAGCCACGCCCACCCCGCCAUGGAGGUCAUCGACGCGUUACUGAAUGAUCGUGCUUUGAAAAGGGAAAGGUGAUUGAGGAGGAACUUAACCGUUACAGUUUCCUUGUCAAGAGCUCAUCCAGCUGAUAGAGGAGCUGGAGCCUUUACUGCAGAGGAGGACGAGAAGGGUGCACGCCAUCCCCUCCCACACACAGGUUUUGGUGGCCCUCAGAACACUUGCCAGCGGCUCUUUCCAGCAUGUAAUUGGAGAAACUGCUGGAAGGUUAUUAUCAUAAGUAAUUCAUAACAAUAAAACCCCAUAUUUCUCCUUGGUCACAA